rnacentral:sRNA from 1 species
CCCAGCGCUGAAGCGCUGGGCUAAAUUGUUUCGUCCCUACCGGGACG